ACAUCGGUCUUACGAAGUUUCUUGGCCUCUGCCCUUCAGCCUUGUCUCGGUACUUGGAGUUUGCCUCUGCAUGCUCCACCUCCUCGGCCCCUUUCACGACCAAGCACUCUCCCUCCAUGAGAGCAAGAUCAAUGACUUUCACAGAAGUCCCACCUUUACGGUACCAUAGCGCUGCCAUGCCCAUGGCACUACUAUCCGUCGCCUCGCAUCUACAUCCCUUUUCUUCACAAUCAGUAGAUAUGCCUCUGUGGUACUCCUCCGAGUCCACCUCCAUUCUAACUGAUGCUUGAUUUUAGGUAGCU
rnacentral:lncRNA from 1 species